GUUAAGACGCGUACGUUUUCCUCGAGUGUGUGAUUUAUUUGCUGCGUAAUUUAAUUAAUUUCCAUAAUUAUACUUUGUUGUUCGUAUACGUUAUUGUUCGAUUUCGUGUUUUUUAUUAUAAUUGAUUUCGAAUUUUUGUCGGUAGUUGGAAUUAUUGUUUUUUUCGGUCACUUAUUUGCUCUUUAGAGUUGAAGAUGGUGUGGAAGACUUCCUGUGAUUCUUUUUUCGUUAAAAAAUAUUGAUGAUCGCGCGCAAUGCGAUCGAUAGAGUCAGUGUUCGUUUCGUAAUAGUAUUUUUAUAUUUUUUUGAGCACAAUUGCUCAUAAUUAAUAGUAUUUCGCGAAAUUAGAGUCAGUGUUUGUUCGUCGUUUAAAAGAAUGUAACGGACGCGUUAUCGGUCUUUUAUUUUUAUUGUUUUUCCUUCUUAAAUAUUCGUUUUCGGUAGAGGUUAGAGUCAGUGUUAUUCUCAAGAGAACAAGGCGAUCAUCCACCACGCGAAGAGAUUCUACUUUCUUCGAUGAUUUCCCACGGAUGAGCAAUCCAGAUUCUACGCAUCUAACGGUGAGUCGCAUGCUUUUUGUUUCCUCCAGUCACUCAAUCAUGUCGUUGGACGAAAGGUCAAAAAUCGACACGGGUGACUGGUUGUAUACGUAGAAGUUUGCACGAGCACAAUGACCAUGGGUGUUAUUUACACUCAUGAGUAGUAACAUUGGUUUUGUGUGUUUUAUUUAUUAGUUCAGGCUAGGUCUUCUUGUACAUCGCGUUUUAAAACGUGGAUAAUUUUUAAAAUUUAUUACUUUUCCUUGAUUAAAGAAUUGUUCAUCAAAUAUAUAAUAUAUAUAAAUAUAUAUAAAUAUAUAU